rnacentral:rRNA from 1 species
UACGUAGGGGGCUAGCGUUGUCCGGAUUUAUUGGGCGUAAAGAGCGUGUAGGCGGCCAGGUAGGUCUGCUGUGAAAACUCGAGGCUCAACCUCGAGACGUCGGCGGAAACCAUCUGGCUAGAGUCCGGAAGAGGGUCGCGGAAUUCCCGGUGUAGAGGUGAAAUUCGUAGAUAUCGGGAGGAACACCGGUGGCGAAGGCGGCUCACUGGCCCGGUACUGACGCUGAGGCACGAAAGCGUGGGGAGCAAACGGG